rnacentral:rRNA from 1 species
UACGGGGGGAGCAAGCGUUGUUCGGAAUUACUGGGCGUAAAGCGAGUGUAGGCGGUCUGCUAAGUCGGGUGUGAAAGCCCCGGGCUCAACCCGGGAAGUGCACUCGAAACUGGCAGGCUAGAGUAUCGGAGAGGUUGGUGGAAUUCUCGGUGUAGAGGUGAAAUUCGUAGAUAUCGAGAGGAACACCGGUGGCGAAGGCGGCCAACUGGACGAAUACUGACGCUGAGACUCGAAAGCGUGGGGAGCAAACAGG